GUACUCACUUUAGCAUAUAUACUAAAAUUGGAACUAUAUAGAAAAGAUUAACACAGUCCCUGCACAAGAAUUACAUACAAACUCUUGGAAUGUUUCAUUUUUUU
rnacentral:snRNA from 1 species